CCAGACUCCUACGGGAGGCAGCAGUGAGGAAUAUUGGUCAAUGGGCUUACGCCUGAACCAGCCAAGUAGCGUGAAGGAUGACUGCCCUAUGGGUUGUAAACUUCUUUUAUAUGGGAAUAAAACAGGGUAUGCAUACCCUCUUGUAUGUACCAUAUGAAUAAGGAUCGGCUAACUCCGUGCCAGCAGCCGCGGUAAUACGGAGGAUGCGAGCGUUAUCCGGAUUUAUUGGGUUUAAAGGGUGCGCAGGCGGCACGGCAAGCCGGCGGUCAAAUCGCGGGGCUCAACCCCGCCCAGCCGUCGGAACUGCCGGGCUAGAGUGGGCGAGAAGUGCGCGGAAUGCGUGGUGUAGCGGUGAAAUGCAUAGAUAUCACGCAGAACUCCGAUUGCGAAGGCAGCGCACCGGCGCCCUACUGACGCUCAGGCACGAAAGCGUGGGUAUCGAACAGGAUUAGAUACCCUAGUAC
rnacentral:rRNA from 1 species